ACAAUAGGUGAGCGUCAUUUUAAAAGAUAAGAAAAGAAAAAUUACAACAAUCAUCAGAAAACACCAUUUUUUAAAUAUUGACACACUAAUUCACACUUUUGAAUUACUUGCGUAAUUUUGGAUUUACAAGUGAAUAACAGAUGCUUUUCCGGAUCGCCCCCAAAAUAUCUGUGUGGGAUAAUAAACAAAAAACAAAAAUGAGUAUAAAUAAAUAAAAAAAAUCUGUUAAACACAAAAUUCAAAAAUUAAUCACAGUAUUUGUGAACGAUUUAUAUACAUAAAUAUUAUGAAGAAAGUGAUAACACUUAUUUUGAUUUUUACUAUAAUAGUUUAUGAAAACGAGGCCUUUAUCACUUCAGAAAAGUGGCGCAAGAAGCCAAUCGUUGAUAAAACUGAAAAAAAUCCAGCUAACAUUAGAACUGAGUCAUGUCAAACAAAUUAUCAGUGUAGAGAAUACUGCAGAAUUCAUCUUAAAGAUCUUUCUAUGGAAAAAUGUAUCGCAAUAAUGAAUAUUAUAAACUUUACAAAGAGGUUUUUGUACGUUUAUACGUAAAUGUAUUUUUUUAAAUGUUAAUAAAGGUUUUUAAGAACUGCA